UACGUAGGGGGCAAGCGUUGUCCGGAAUCAUUGGGCGUAAAGAGCGCGUAGGCGGCCCUGUAAGUCCGCUGUGAAAGUCAAGGGCUCAACCCUUGGAUGCCGGUGGAUACUGCAGGGCUAGAGUCCGGAAGAGGCGAGUGGAAUUCCUGGUGUAGCGGUGAAAUGCGUAGAUAUCAGGAGGAACACCGGUGGUGUAGACGGCUUUCUGGACCAUAACUGACGCUGAGACACGAAAGCGUGGGUAGCAAACAGG
rnacentral:rRNA from 1 species